UAUCUCUGUAGAGUCUGCAUAUCAAUAAGCGGAGGAAAAGAAACUAACUAAGGAUUCCCUCAGUAACGGCGAGUGAAGCGGGAAGAGCUCAAAUUUGAAAUCUUCAAGGUUCUACCUUGACGAAUUGUAGUUUAAAGAAGUGUUUUCUGUUGAAGUUUUGGUAAAAGUUCUUUGGAAUAGGACAUCAUAGAGGGUGAUGAAUCCCGUAUUGACCAGUUAUUUCCAGCUGUGUGAUUACACUUUCAAAGAGUCGGAUUGUUUGGGAAUGCAGUCCAAAAUGGGUGGUAAAUUUCAUCUAAAGCUAAAUACUGGCGAGAGACCGAUAGCGAACAAGUACCGUGAGGGAAAGAUGAAAAGAACUUUGAAAAGAGAGUUAAACAGUACGUGAAAUUGUCAAAAGGGAAGCGUUUGACACCAGUGUUGUUUUCUCGAAAAUCAAUUAAAAAAGUCAGGAUUUUGUAUUGUAAUUGACUCUAUCAGCUUUACUGCUACUCUUUUCUUGUCUUUUUUAAUGCACUUUUCGUUUAACAAGUCAACAUCAAUUUCUUUUGUUGUAAAAGAGUCAUUGGAAGGUGGCUUUCACUUUCGGUGAGAAGUGUUUAUAGCCCUAUUGCCUCUACAAUCGGAGAGAUUGAGGUCUGCAGCGUAGAUCCUUCGGGGUUAGAUACACUUUGUGCUAAGUUAGUAGCCUUUCAUAGACAACUUGUUGACUAUGAUCAGUCAUGUAGGCUUACUCGCUUAGUGCUAUUUUACCUACGCUUAGGAUGUUGACGAGACUGUCGAUCUC
rnacentral:rRNA from 1 species